UUUCCCUUGGAUUUUUUGCACCUUCUCCUUUUCUGUUAGUCCGGUUUAUCUCAGCCUGCUGGCAUGAAGAGAAGGACAGUUAUAAAAGCCAUUUAUAAAAGGAGCAGGGAGGUAGUGGUCUUUUGUCUUUGCUGCUGAAACGGCUUGGGUAGAUAUACAAGAUGGCCUGAGAAACAAUGCUGGGAGUGAGGAGCAUGGACCGGCCAGGGAGACAGGAGGAAAGCAGGUUUCCCUGUCUUCAUGGUACAAAGAAGGCAAAGGCAGGAUGAGCACAGGCAGGCCCCGCGCCUGCCCGGAGGGAGCUGUAAGCAGAGGAAGGUGAAGUGGCCUGAAGAAAUGUCUGUACUGGAGACAGUCGGGGCUGUGUGCCUCUGCCUGACGCAACAUCAUUUCAGACGUGGAGGAAGGAUCUGUUGGCAGAUCUUGGGACUCAAAUGGGCUGGACUUCUAAGAAAAAAUAUACCCAGGCCUCUCUAUUCCACCAAUUUUCAUUCUUUCAUACAUACAUAUUUAUUUAUUUAAACAGACUUUAUAUUUUAGGCAGUUUUAGUUCACAGCAAAUUUGAGCAGAAAAUGCAGAGGUCCCAUAGACUUCCUUACCCAACAUACCCACGGCCUCCCGCUCUGUCAACACCCUGCAGCUGAUUCAUCUGACAGUCGAUGAAACGAUUCACACAUCAUUAUCACCCAAAGUCCAUCAUCUACAUUACAGACUCUUGGUGUCGUACAUUCUGUGCGAUUUGACAAAUGUACAAUGACGUGUACCUGCCAUUGCUGUGUCAUACAGAGUAAUUUCAGCGCCUGAUAAUCCUCCAUGCUCCGCCUGCUAACCUCUUCCUCCCCCAACCCCUGGUCCCCAAGGCUUUGCUUUUUCCAGAGUGUCACAUAGUUGGAAUCGUACGGAACAUAGCCUUUUCAGAGCGGCUUCUUUCACUUAAUAAUACGCAUUUACCUUUCCUCCAUGUUUGUUCACGGCUUGAUAGCUCAUUUCCACUGAAUAAUAUUCCAUGGUCUGGAUGUAGCCAUUUUCAUAUAUUUUUAAGAAGACAGACUGUUUCAUGGGGCGACAUGAUUUGUUAAUAACUAGUAUUAUAAUUAAACUUACAAUAAAAGAAAUACGUGGCUUAAAUAAAACAACCGUAUAUCAACCCUAUCAAUACUGAGGCUAUGAUUAUCCUUCUGGUUGCAGUAAGUAAACUGAAGCACAGAGCAACCCUGAUUUACCCACAGCAGAUGGUCAGUGAUGUGAGGGCCAUAGGAAGA
rnacentral:lncRNA from 1 species